CCUACGGGUGGCAGCAGUGGGGAAUAUUGGACAAUGGGCGAAAGCCUGAUCCAGCCAUGCCGCGUGUGUGAAGAAGGCCUUCGGGUUGUAAAGCACUUUCAGUGGGGAAGAAAGCCUUGGGGCUAAUACCCUCGAGGAAGGACAUCACCCACAGAAGAAGCACCGGCUAACUCCGUGCCAGCAGCCGCGGUAAUACGGAGGGUGCGAGCGUUAAUCGGAAUUACUGGGCGUAAAGCGCGCGUAGGCGGUCUGAUAAGCCGGUUGUGAAAGCCCCGGGCUCAACCUGGGAACGGCAUCCGGAACUGUCAGGCUAGAGUUCAGGAGAGGAAGGUAGAAUUCCCGGUGUAGCGGUGAAAUGCGUAGAGAUCGGGAGGAAUACCAGUGGCGAAGGCGGCCUUCUGGACUGACACUGACGCUGAGGUGCGAAAGCGUGGGUAGCAAACAGGAUUAGAUACCCCGGUAGUC
rnacentral:rRNA from 1 species